rnacentral:lncRNA from 1 species
UGAUGAGCAUUGUUUAAUUCUUGAGUUCCUCAAUAAAAGUAGUCUUCGCAAUUUAGCAAAGCUUUGAUGAGCAAUGUUUAAUUCUUAAGUUCCACAACAGAAGUGUAUGCAAUUUAAGCAAAGCUUUGAUGAGCACUGUUUCAUUCUUGAGUUCCACAUUAGAUGUCUAUGCAAUUUAGCAAAGCUUUGAUUUGCAUUGUUUAAUUCUUGAGUUCCACAAUAGAGGUAGACUUUGCAAUUUAGCUAAGGUUUGAUGAGCAUUGUUAAAUUCUUGAGUUCCACAAUAGAAGUCUAUGCAAUUUAAGCAAAGCUUUGAUGAGCAUUGUUUCAUUCUUUAGUUCCACAUUAGAAGUCUAUGCAAUUUAGCAAAGCUUUGAUGUGCAUUGUUUAAUUCUUGAGUUCCACACUAGAAGUAGUCUUCGCAAUUUAGCAAAGCUUUGAUGUGCAUUGUUUAAUUCUUGAGUUCCACAAUUGAUGUGGUGUUUUCAGUUUAGCAAAGCUUUUAUGAGCGUUGAUUUAUUCUUGAGUUCCAUAAUAGAAGUCUAUUCAAUUUACAAAGGUUUUGAUGAGAAUUGUUUAAUUCUUGAGUUCCACAUUACAAGUAGUCUUCGCUAUUUAGCAAAGCUUUGAUGAGUAUUGUUUAUUUCUUGAGUUGCACAAUAAUAGUCUAUGCAAUUUAAGCAAACCUUUGACGAGCAUUCUUUCAUUCUUGAGUUCCAUAUUAGAAGUCUAUGCAAUUUUGCAAAUUUUUUAUGAGUAUUGUUUAAUUCUAGAGUUCCAUAAUAGAUUUAGUCUUCACAAUUUAGCAAAGCUAUUAUGAGCAUCGUUUAAUUCUUACGUUCCACAAUAGAAGUCUAUGCAAUUUAAGCAAAGCUUUGAUGAGCAUUGUUUCAUUCUUGGGCUCUACAUUGGAUGUCUAUGUAAUUUUUCAAAGCAUUGAUGAACAUUGUUUAAUUCUUAAUUUCCAUAAUAUAAAUAGUCUUUGCAAUUUAGCAAAGCUUUGAUGAGCAUUUUUUAAUUCUUGAGUUCCAAAAUCGUGUAUGCAAUUUAAGCAAAGCUUUGAUGAGCAUUGUUUAAUACUUGAGUUCCACAUUAGAAGUCUAUGCAAUUUAUUAAAGCUUUGAUGAGCAUUGUUUAAUUGCAGAGCUUCGCAAUAGAAGUAAUCUUUGCAAUUUAGCAAAGGUUUGAUGAGCAUUGUUUGAUUCUUUAGUUCAACAAUAGAAGUCUAUGCAAUUUUGUAACAACGUAAAUUUCAAACCAAAAAUUUCAUUUUUGUCACAACCAUUUUCACAUAAAAUGUUUUAUAAAGUAUCUAAUAUUAGUUAUCAAAAUAUAUCAUAUCCCAAGAUCACAAAAUUCAAAUCCUCUCUCUCUAGUGUGUAAGAGUCACGCCGGCGCCUUCCCACAGUCCUCGCUAGUACCUGAAACACAUAGCACAACAAAUGUAAGCAUAUUGCUUAGUGAAUUCACCAAAAUACCCUUACACACUAUGCCUUUCCAGGCCAUACUCUACACGACCUUCCGGUCCAUGUGUCUCAAGGGACUUCUCCCGGUCCUAGUCGACCUUUCGGUCCUACUCGUAUCGACCUUCCGGUCCAUGACUCCCUGACCUUCCGGUCCACGUCAUAAUGCCUUCCGGCCCAUAUCAUACAUAGCAUAUAUAUCACAUUCAUAACGCAUACAAAACCUGCAACGCAUAGCGUACAAAACAUGCAACUCAUAGCAUACAAGACCUUCCGGUCACACAUAGGUACCUUUCCAGGUACAGUAUAGUGAGAAGACUCACCUCAGAUAUCUCGGUAAGUCUCUGUCUCAGUAGAAAUGUGAUCUAGCCUCCGCCUAAUCACAUAAAGCAAAUACUCCCAUAAAUACAACUGAACUCAACCCUAAAAGUCAACAAGGUCAACGGUCAACUUUGACCCGACUCAGCGAGUGCACUAGGGCGACUCGGUGAGUCUACAUGUGUCCACAGCCUCACUCUUAGACCCUCUCUUGGCACAUCGAGUACUCCCCUGACUCGAUAAGUUCCACCUGGCAAGAAUCGCAGGGCCACCCUGACUCAACUCGCCGAGUCCCAAGAACAACUCGGCGAGUUCCAACUCGAACUCAGACCCCUGACUCUCCCUGACUCACCGAGUCAUUCCCCCAACUCGACAAGUCCACUCAUUGAGUGAUUUACGGGCAACCUUCAUACUAUACGCCGAGUCUGUUCUUCGGACUCGGCGAGUUCAUGCCAUGCACAAACUCAAAACGACUUCUGAGGUUAGAUCUGUUCCAUACAAUCAUAGAUCUAGCCUCCCCAAGCAUGAUAAACACGUAAAGUUUGGACCUUGACACACAUAUAACAUAGAAAUGGUCCAAAAUGGUGAUUUAGCCCCAAAAAUGACAUUCUAAGCUCAGGACUUCCAAAAUGGCUCAUAAAGCUCCAAGGGUCAAGGUCUCUGGACCUCUUUGAGUCUAGAUCCAAAGCACAAAAUCGAAAGGGGACUAAAUACUCUACAUACUCUUCUUCUAAAGGGUCUAAAAACCCUAACUCUAUGAAUCAACACCCAAAACUGGAGAAGGUCCGAAGGAAUACCUUAAUAUGAAGCCUUUGAUCUCUGAAGACACUAGAUUUGCACUUCCUUCAGCCUUUUUUGCCUUGGUCACCUUCUCCUUCAAAUUUCACCUACAAAAGAUCAACAAUAGCCUCUCUUCACCUCACAAACGACCAUAAGGGCCUUUAUAUAGGUCUCAAACCUUGGAAAUUAGGGUUUCAUUAAACAGCAUGGACUCGCCGAGUCCACUAAUGAACUCGCCGAGUCCAGCUGUGAACUCGCAUCCAAAUCCGCGACCAUACUCGGCGAGUGUAGACGCCAACUUGCCGAGUUCCCCCACAAAACCCAAAAAUAAAGGGACAAAAUCUCAUACCUGGAAAUCCGGGUGUUACAAUUCUCCCCCACUAGAAUCAGACUUCGCCCCCGAAGUCUCACUCUGCAAACAACUCCGGAUGCUGCUCCCGCAUCUCACGCUCCGGUACCCAAGUCAACUCUGACCCUUUCCGAUGCUGCCACUGGACCUGCACCAGUGGCACUUCCUUGUUCCUUAAAACCUUGAUCUUUUGAUCCCUGAUCGCCACCGGUCACACAGCAUAAUUCAGGCUCGCAUCCACCUGGAUAUCUUCUAAUGGCACCACCGCCGACUCGUCGGCUAUACACUUCCGCAACUGCGAUAUGUGGAAGUGUCAUAAAUCUGACCCAAUUCUGCUGGCAACUCCAAAUGAUAGGCUACUCUGCCCACCCUCGCGAUCACCCUGAAACGACGAAUAUAUCGGGGCCCCAACUUGCCCCUCUUCCUGAAUCGGAUCACUCCUUUCCAAGGAGAGACAUUUAGGAGCACGAAGUCGCCGACCUGAAACUCGAGCUCGGAUCGGCGUCUGUCUGCAUAACUCUUCUGCCGACUCUGGGCGGUCAAUAACCUCUGUCUGACCUGCUGGAUCUGCUCUGUCGUCUGCAGCACAAUCUCGGUGCUGCCCAUCACACGCUGCCCCACUUCUCCCCAGCAAAUGGGGGUUCAACACCUCCUCCCAUACAACAGCUCAAAGGGCGGCAUGCCAAUGCUCGAAUGAUAGCUGUUGUUAUAAGAAAACUCCGCCAAGGGCAAAUACGUGUCCCAACUCCCUCCGAAAUCUAAUACACAUGCCCGAAGCAUAUCCUCGAGUGUCUGAAUCAUCCGCUCACUCUGCACGUCCGUCUGUGGGUGGUAUGCAGUACUGAAAUGCAGCCUCGUACCCAACUCCUCGUGAAACUUCUUCCAAAAUCUGGAAGUAAAUCGCACAUCUCAAUCUGAAAAAAUCGAGAUUGGAACUCCAUGCCGCGAUACCACCUCCCUCACAUACAACUCUGUCUGCCUCUCAGCAGAAGAGCUCUCACUGAUUGCAAGAAAGUGAGCACGCUUCGUCAACCUGUCCACAAUCUCCCAAAUUGCAUCGACACCCCUCGCGGUCCUAGGCAAUUUGGUGAUGAAAUCCAUGGUAAUCUGUUCCCAUUUCCACUCUGGAAUCUCUAAUGGCUGGCGCUUACCAUGUGGACGGUGGGGCUCNUCCACUCUGGAAUCUCUAAUGGCUGCAGCUUACCAUGUGGACGCUGGUGCUCGGCCUUCACCCUGCGGCAUCUCAAGCACCUCUCCACAAACCAUGCGACAUCCCUCUUCAUACAGGGCCACCAAUAAUCCUUCUUCGGGUCCAAAUACAUCUUUGUGGCCCCGGGAUGGAUCGAAAAUUUCGAUCGAUGAGCCUCCUCCAUCAACAUGGUACGCGUCCCGCCGACAGACGGUACCCAAAUCCGGCCCUAAAAUGUCAUAAGCCCCCGGCUAUCAGUAACAAAUUCUGAUACCAACCCGAUGACUCACUCCCUCUUCUGGCUUUCUGACCUCACAGCCUCAGCCUGGGCCCCUCGGAUAGCAUCCAACACCGGGGUCAUCACUAUCAAUCUCAACCAAACAUCCCGCAAUGGGGCGCCCUUCGCCCUACGGCUUAGAGCAUCGACUACAACAUUAGCCUUGCCCGGGUGGUACAGGAUCUCACAAUCAUAAUCCUUGACCACGUCCAACCACCAUCUCUGGCGUAUAUUCAGGUUGGGCUGAUCCAUCAAAUACUUCAAGCUCUUGUGGUCCGUGUAUAUCGUACACCGAACCCCAUACAGAUAAUGUCGCUAAAUCUUGAGGGCGAACACUACCGCUCCCAGUUCCAAAUCAUGAGUGGGAUAUCUCGACUCAUGAGGCUUAAGUUGCCUCGAUGCAUAUGCUAUCACAUGCCCCCUCUGCAUAAGCACCGCUCCUAGACCGGAUAUCGAUGCAUCACAAUAAACCACAAAAUCUUCCAUCCCUUCUGGAAGAGCUAGAACUGGUGCUUCGCAUAAUUUUUGGCGAAGUGUCUCGAACGAGGUCUGCUGCUCCAGACCCUAAGAAAACGCAGCACCCUUCCGGGUCAACUUCGUGAAUGGCACGGCGAUCUUGGAGAAAUCCUUAAUAAAUCUCCGAUAAUAGCCGGCUAAACCCAGAAAACUCCUGAUCUCAGUGGGUGACCUCGGCACCUCCCAUCUCAUGACCACCUCAAUCUUGGCUCGAUCAACCAAUAUCCCAUUCUGGUUAACGAUGUGUCCAAGAAACUGAACCUCUCGUAGCCAGAACUCGCAUUUGGAGAACUUGGCAUAAAGCCUCUCCGAUCUCAGAACUCCGAGGAUCUCCCUCAAAUGCUCCUCAUGUUGCUCUCUGGUUCUCGAAUAUACCAAUAUGUCGUCGAUGAACACAGUCACUGAGUGAUCCAACAUCGGUCUACACACCCUGUUCAUGAGAUCCAUGAACACCACAGGUGCGUUGGUGAGUCCGAAAGGCAUCACCACGAACUCGUAAUGCCCAUAACGAGUCCGAAAUGCUAUCUUCCGGACGUCCUCCUCCCGCACCCUCACCUGAUGAUACCUAGACCUCAAAUCGAUCUUGGAGAACCAAGAUGCUCCCUGCAACUGGUCAAACAAAUUGUCGAUCCUCGGCAACGGGUAACGGUUCUUGACCGUUAGCUUAUUCAGCUCACGAUAAUCAAUGCACAUCCGGAGCGAGCCAUCCUUCUUCUUGACAAAAAGGAUGGGCGCCCCCCAUGGCAAACUGCUCGGCCUAAUAAACCCCUUCCCCGACAGCGCCUGAAGCUGCAAGGAUAACUCCUGCAUUUCCAGAGGCGCCAGGCGAUAAGGCGCCUUAGCGAUGGGCGCAACUCCCGAAACCAACUCAAUACUGAACUCUACCUGCCUCUCCGGAGGCACACCUGGCAAAUCCUCUGGAAACACAUCUGGAAACUUGCGCGCUAUCGGAACCUCCUCAACCGACUUCGGUCCCUCUGAAAAAAAAACCCUCGCAUCCAUCACAUAUGCCACAAAUCCUCUACAGCCCUGUUGUAGACUCUGUCUCGCUUUGGCGGCCGAACAAAAUGCUGAUCCCGCACGUGUACCCUCACCGUGCACUGUAAGAACUCCCCCACUAGGGUCUCGAAUCGUCACCAACUGACGCUCGCAGUCUAUCACAGCUCCAUAUCUGCUCAACCAAUCCAUACCCACUAUACACACACGUCCCCCAUCGUGAUCGGAACUAGAUCAAUUGGGAACUCCACACCGAAAAACUCAAGGACACAUCCUUGAAUCACAUCCGAAGCAUACACUGCUCACUCAUCAGCUAUGGAAACUCAUAGAGGACGACUCAACGUCUCUCGACGGAUACUAAUGCACUGACUAAAAGCCAAGGAAACAAAUGACCGACUCGCACCCGAGUCAAAUAAAACCAGAGCAGGUACAGAACUCACAAGAAAAGUACCUAUGCAUAUCAUCAUAUAAGCAUAAAAACUCAAAUCAAAUAAAAGAUGAAAGAGAAUACAUACCAGCCACAACAUCGGGCGCCGCGCGGACCUCUUCUGCGGUCAACUGAAAUGCCCUCCCUCGAGCCUUCGGGGCCUCGACCUUCACCGGCCGAANCCCGGCCGAAUUGGUAUCCCUAGCAGCAGGCGCAGAUCCCUGUGAUGAUCCCUGGUGUAGCUGAGAGCACUCGGCCUUCCGAUGGCCGGUCUGGUUGCAAUGGAAACAAACCAUAAAUCCCUUGGGGCAAUCCUUGGCGAUAUGCCUCUCCUUGACACAUUUGUAGCAAGCACCCGAUCGACAGGCCCCCUCAUGACCCUUGCCGCACUUCCCACAAGUGCGUCCCUUCUGGCCUCUAGUCCUCGAAUCGGCGGACUUGGUCCGCUUGGCUGCCGGCUGAGACUGAGCCGGCCGCCGAUCCAUCCUCUGAGGAGUCUCCAACUUAAUCUCUCUCUUCCGGGCAUUUGCCUGGAGCUCAGCAAAUGUCCGGUAUGUUGAGUUCGACACGAACUCCCGAAUGUCUCUCCUCAGAAUACCCAAAUACCGGCUCAUCCGAGCCUGCUCAGUUGACACCUGCUCAGGGCAGAACAUCGCCCUCUCAUGAAACUUCCGGGUGACCACAGUAACCAAAUCAUUACCCUGCUUGAGGGUCAAGAACUCCUGAACCAGCCGUUCCCUCUCCACCGGGGGAACAUACUCGUCCCUCAACAUGGUGGUGAACCUCUCCCAGGUCACUGCUAAAAUCUCUACAAGAGUGAAGUCCGCUGUCACGAACCUCCACCAAUCCUUCUCUCCCAAGCGAAGCUGGUUCAAAGCGAACCGUACCCUCAGAUGCUCAGAUCAUGAACACGUAUAGAAGCAUCCCUCAACGUCAUCAAUCCAUCUCAUCGCAGCGAUCGGAUCCUGCGUCCCAUCAAACUCGGGUGGCUUCGUGUUGCUGAACUCCCGGAACAACAACGAGUCACCCCCCUGAGGUCUGGCAGCAGCAACANNNNNNNNNNAGCGGCUGCGGCCUCAGUCACCGCGGCGUACCGCUCAUCAAAAGUUUCCAACAGUGUGGUCUUGAUAGAACCAAACAUCUCUGGAAUCUCGGCCCUAAUCGCCGCAGCCACCUCAUCGUGGAUCAUCUGACGAAGCUCCUCGUCACUCACACCGCUCGCCUCAGGUCUGUGGCGUGUCCUAACCAUGAUUCCUCUGAAAUACAACAAAAAAUAUCAUAGACUCGAUCGAGCAUAAUCAUACUCGAUGACGCCACCCUACUCGUCAUCCGUUGCCCAAAAGAUUCUUACUUGGAAUGCCCACUGAUCCGGUGUCUUUAGUAGUACGGGCCCAAUACUACUAACCAUACCGCAUCAAUAUUCACUCCAAGUCCUCCUCCUUGGAUCCUGGAUUACGAGUACUCUACUCUCAUGAGCUCCUAACUGCUAUACACUCGUUCUCAAAGCAUCUCAUCAGCAGAAAUCUCCUAGGCUAAUGCAUCACAAAUCAGGCCACUCUAGUCCUAAUAUAUAACCUAGCCUACUCUAGCAUGCAUAAUGUAACAUAACAUAUCUUAUAACACAUAAUGUAAGGGUACUUUUGGAAAUUCACCGUUCGGGUGUUGACUGAUCGUACACACGGCUCUGCUCUGUUUGUCUCAAAACUCUCUUUACUCUUUACNCUCGGGCGCGGGCUGAUCGUACACACAUGUCUUGCUCUGCGUCUUUUCAAAAAUCUUUUAAUCUUUUGAAAAUUACAUCUCAAAUCCUCAGUUUGCGUUCAGAUACGCCCGAAGGUGCAUCCGAAUCUCUCAAACCAAGGCUUUGAUACCAACUUGUAACAACAUAAAUUUCAAACCAAAAAUUUCAUUUUUGUCAACCAUUUUCACAUAAAAUGUUUUAUAAACUAUCCAAUAUUAGUUAUCAAAACAUAUCAUAUCCCAAGAUCACAAAAAUCAAAUCCUCUCUCUCUAGUGUGUAUGAGUCACGCCGACGCCUUCCCACGGUCCUCGCUAGUACCUGAAACACAUAACACAACAACUUUAAGCAUAUUGCUUAGUGAAUUCCCCAAUAUACCCUUACACACAUAUGCCUUUCCAGGCCAUACUCUACGCGACCUUCCAGUCCAUGUGUCUCAGGGGACUUCCGUCCUAGUCCCAGUAGACCUUCCGGUCCUACUCGUAUCGACCUUUCGGUCCAUGACUCCCUGACCUUCUGGUCCACGUCAUAAUGCCUUCCGGCCCAUAUCAUACGUAGCAUAUAUAUCACAUUCAUAACGCAUACAGAACCUGCAACGCAUAUCAUACAAAGCAUGCAACUCAUAACAUACAAGACCUUUCGGUCACACAUAGGUACCUUUCUAGGUACUAUAGUGAGAAGACUCACCUCAGAUAUCUCGAUAAGUCUCUGUCUUGGUAGAAAUGUGAUUUAGCCUCCGCCUAAUCACAUAAAGCUAAUACUCCCAUAAAUACAAUUGAACUCAACCCUAAAAGUCAACAAGGUCAACGGUCAACUUUGACCCGACUUGGCGAGUGCACUAGGGCGACUCGGCGAGUCUACACGUGUCCACAGACUCACUCUUAGACCCUCUAUUGGCACGUCGAGUACUCCCCUGACUCGACGAGUUCCACCGGGCAAGAAUCACGGGGCCACCCCGACUCAACUCGCCGAGUCCCAAGAACAACUCGGCGAGUUCCAACUCAAACUCAGACCCCUGACUCUCCCUGACUCACCGAGUCAUUCCCCUAACUCAACAAGUCCAUUCACUGAGUGAUUUACGGGAAACCUUCAAACUACUCGCCGCGUCUGUUCUUCGGACUCGGCGAGUUCAUGCCAUGCACAAACUCAAAACGAAUUCUGAGGUUAGAUCUGUUCCAUACAAUCAUAGAUCUAGCCUCCCCAUGAUAAACCCGUAAAGUUCGAACCUUGACACACAUAUAACAUAGAAAUGGUCCAAAAUGGUGAUUUAGCCCCAAAAAUGACAUUCUAAGCUCAUGACUUCCAAAAUGGCUCAUAAAGCUCCAAGGGUUAAGGUCUAUGGACCUCUUUGAGUCCAGAUCCAAAGCACAAACUCGAAAGGGGACUAAAUACUUUACAUACUCUUCUUCUAAAGGGUCUAAAAACCCUAACUCUAAGAAUCAACACCCAAAACUGGAGAAGGUCCGAAGGAGUACCUUUAUAUGAAGCCCUUGAUCUCUGAAGACACUAGAUUUGCACUUCCUUCAGCCUUCUUUGCCAUGGUCACCUUCUCCUUCAAAUUUCACCAACAAAAGAUCAAGAAUAGCCUCUCUUCACCUUACAAAAAACCUAAGACUCUCUCUGGGGUGUGGUAGCCACAAUGGACGGCCAUAAGGGCCUUGAUAUAGGUCUCAAACCCUGGAAAUUAGGGUUUCAUUAAACAGCGUGGACUCGCCGAGUCCAGCUGUGAACUCGCAUCCAAAUCCGCGACCAUACUCGGCGAGUCUAGACGCUAACUCACCGAGUUCCCCCACAAAACCCAAAAAUAAAGGGACAAAAUCUCAUACCUGAAAUCCAGGUGUUACAGAUUUAAGUAAAGAUUUGAUGAGCAUUGUUUCAUAUCUGAGUUCCACAUUAAAAGUCUAUGCAAUUUAGCAAAGCUUUGAUGAGCAUUGUUAAAUUCUUGAGUUCCACAAUAGAAGUCUAUGCAAUUUAGCAAAGCUUUGAUGAGCAUUGUUAAAUUCUUGAGUUCCACAAUAGAAGUCUAUGAAAUUUAAGCAAAGCUUUGAUGAGCAUUGUUUCAUUCUUUAAUGUCACAUUAGAAGUCUAUGCAAUUUAGCAAAGCUUUGAUGUGCAUUGUUUAAUUCUUGAGUUCCACACUAGAAAUAGUCUUCGCAAUUUAGCAAAGCUUUGAUGAGCAUUGUUUAAUUCAUGACUUCCACAAUUGAUGUGGUGUUUUCAGUUUAGCAAAGCUUUUAUGAGCAUUGUUUAAUUCUUGAGUUCUACAAUAGAAGUCUAUGCAAUUUACAAAGGUUUUGAUGAGCAUUGUUUAAUUCUUGAGUUCUACAAUAGAAGUCUAUGCAAUUUACAAAGGUUUUGAUGAGCAUUGUUUAAUUCUUGAGUUCCACAUUACAAGCAGUGUUCGCUAUUUAGCAAAGCUUUGAUGAGUAUUGUUUCAUUCUUGGGCUCUAUGUUAGAAGUCUAUGCAAUUUUGCAAAGCAUUGAUGAGCAUUGUUUAAUUCUUGAGUUCCACAUUACAAGCAGUGUUCGCUAUUUAGCAAAGCUUUGAUGAGUAUUGUUUCAUUCUUGGGCUCUAUGUUAGAAGUCUAUGCAAUUUUGCAAAGCAUUGAUGAGCAUUGUUUAAUUCUUGAGUUCCAUAAUAUAUAUAGUCUUUUCAAUUUAGCAAAGCUUUGAUGACCAUAGUUUAAUUCUUGAGUUCCAAAAUCGUGUAUGCAAUUUAUGCAAAGCUUUGAUGAGCAUUGUUUCAUUAUUGAGUUCCACAUUAGAAGUCUAUGCAAUUUAGCAAAGCUUUGAUGUGCAUUGUUUAAUUCUAGAGUUCCACAAUAGAAGUAAUCAUCGCAAUUUAGCAAAGGUUUGAUGAGCAUUGUUUAGUUCUUUAGUUCCACAAUAUAAGUCUAAGCAAUUUAAGUAAAGCUUUGAUGAGCAUUGUUUCAUUAUUGAGUUCCACAUUAGAAGUCUAUGCAAUUUUGCAAAGUUUUGAUGAGCACUGUUUAAUUCUUGAGUUCCACGAUAAAAGUAAUCCUCGCAAUUUAGCAAACCUUUGAUGAGCAAUGAUUAAUUCUUAAGUUCCACAAUAGAAGUCUAUACAAUUUAAGUGAAGCUUUGAUGAGCAUUGUUUCAUUCUUGAGUUCCACAUUAGAUGUCUAUGCAAUUUAGCAAAGCUUUGAUUUGCAUUGUUUAAUUCUUGAGUUCCACAAUAGAUGUAGACUUUGCAAUUUAGAUAAGCUUUAAUGAGCAUUGUUAAAUUCUUGAGUUCCACAAUAGAAGUCUAUGCAAUUUAAGCAAAGCUUUGAUGAGCAUUGUUUCAUUCUUUAGUUCCACAUUAGAAGUCUAUGCAAUUCAGCAAAGCUGUGAUGUGCAUUGUUUAAUUUUUGAGUUCCACAAUAGAAGUAGUCUUUGUGUCACACCCCGAAACCGAAGGCGGAAACGUUCUGGGGCGGAGGACAUCAUGAAUAUCGCAACCAAUGUACAUAGUAAGCGUAGUAAACACAAAGCAAUACAUUACAUAAUGUUAUUACAUUUGUUUGAAAUCAAAGUGUUACAUGUGUCAUACAUAUACAUAUCAUAUGAACAAAAGUAAAGACGUGUCUUCUACGUACUCCGUCUUCGCCAAAAGGAUCGCUAGUACCUGUCUAAUGUGGACCUGAGAAUACAAGCAGUUUGAAAAUCAACAUAAAGCUGGUGAGUUCAUAAGACGUUUGUUUUCUGAAAAUGUACAAGUUUCCUUUGGUUCUCCGAAAAAGUUUGUUAUCCAAGAAAAUCCCAUAUUUUCUUAUAAGUGUAGUUUAGUUAUCCAUUAGUUACACGGUCUAGUUAAGAACAGUUCAGUUAUCCCAGGAAAAACCCUUAUUUUCCUAAAAGUAAAGUUUAGUUAAUGUUCUGAAUUUCCGUUAAAUACAACUGUGUAUAGUCUAAUACGUAAGACUAUAUAUUGAAAUUCAUGGGAUUACUAUCUCGUACUAGAUAUAAGAUAACCUUAAUACACAAAGACUAUAGAUUGAAAGUCAUGGGAUUACCGUCCCGUACUAGAUAUAAUACUAUGGAAAUACCAUCCCGUACUAGAUAUAAGAUAGCUUGAGAUACACGAAACUAUAGAUAGAUAUAGAUUGAAAACCAUGGGAUUACCAUCUCGUACUAGAUAUAGAUUGAAAACCAUGGGAUUAUCAUCCCGUACUAGAUAUAGAUUCAAAACCAUGGGAUUAUCAUCUCGUACUAGAUACAAGAAACUAUAGAUAGAAGAUAGAUAUAAAAUCAAAUCCGUGAAUAAACUUAUAUUAAUACGUAUUGUGAGUCGGGUAACCGUGCUGAUGCGACACCGAGACCUCCUUGACGUUCGUCAGACGUCGGACAAUUUCUAGAAUUUGUCACCCCAGGCGUGCCCGCCUAACUGUAGCUAGCAGUUUAGGUGUGGGAUUGUCAGUCCCAAAUAGAUCUAUUCACAAAUUCCAUUCUCUCCCUCCAGGAGACUCUGGUUACACUUCCGGGGAGGAUUUACUGAUAACCCAAAGGGUUUAAUAAUGACGAAUAUCACAAGCUAAUAUUAAAUUAUUCACGGUGUUCUCCGACGUUAUCAAACAUACUAAUCAUUUUGGAACAUAAUACGGUAAAAACAGUUUAAUACAAAGAAACUAUCUGGUAUAAUACUUUACAAUAACCAGAGAUAAACUGAAUCAGACAUAGUUUAUCUAUUAACAUUACAUGAAAUCCGAAUUCAUAAAACGAGAACUGAAGAUCCCAAAUUAUUCCCAUAAUAAUUUGAUUGAUUUGAUUGUUUCCUUUACUGAAAUCCAUGUAGUUGUAUUCGAUAAAACAUCCCUUAUGCUCCGUAUAAUACAUAAGGGGUAAAGAUAUCAAAAGUUUGCCAGAUAUUUAUAGAAUUACAUCAGUUUUUAAGUUUCGAAAACAUUUAUAGUUUGCUUGUAUCCCCCUCCCCUGAAAACAUUGAAAAACAUUGAAAAAGGCGUAGGGGUAUGAACUCACCAAUCGAAGAACGUGUCAUCUAGGAUGCUAAGUGUCAGAUCGGGGCUUGAUAACGCGUGAGGUUCUUAUGUAAUAUGAAAUGAUACACAAUUGUAUCUAAUUAUACUUUGAAUCACUAAUUAGAUAAGAUUAUACGCUCCAAGACGCGAAAAUACUUUAAAAUAAGUGUUUGGAGUGACCCCGAUGACAUCUAAGGACGUAUAAGGCUUGGAUAUGGAGUUUAUUUUUCAAGAGUAAACUCAUAAGAGGGUUUACGGCCCUAAUGACCCUCUCCCCAUGAGUUUACGGUAGUAAACUCAUGGUGGGGUGUUCUAUGAUGUUAAAUGGCCUUAUAUCACUUGGGAAAAUUAGCUAGGAUCAAAUCUAGGGCAUAGGAAUGGAUUAAACUCAGAUAUGGACCAUUUAAUGGAGUUUACGAUAGUAAACUAGGAGUUUACGGCCGUAAACUCCCCCACACUCAAUCCCUUGAUGUUUUGGUGGUUCUAGGUCAUUACAAUGCACAUAGGAAGGUUCUAGGGUUGAUUCCAUGGCUUAGGAAGUGUUUGGGACUUGAAUUGACCUUGGAAAAGUAGUUUACGGUCUAUGAAGAUGUUCUUGAGAGUUUACUACCUUAAACAGAUGAGUUUACAACCGUAAACUCAUGUUUGUCCAAGAUUCAUGGGUUUUGGUGGUUGAAAGUCAAGCAUACUAAGUUCUAGACCCAUUUCUAAACCAUACAAGGUGUUAAGGGCACUUUAACACCCAUUGGAUGAGUUUAAGGUCUAAGGAGAUAAGUUUACGGUCCAAGAAUGUUCUUGGGAUGUAAACUCAAGCUUGUCCCAUUUGUAUAUGAUUUGGUGCAUUUCUUGAAGGAUUAAAAGGUUCUAUACUCUCAUGGAAGCCUGUUGGAGGUGUUUAGGGGCAAACUAACACCUUAAAAUGAGUUUACUCCCCAUGAAUAGGUGUUUACGGUCCAAGCAUGUGCUUGGGCCGUAAAAUCAUGCUUAUGCCCCAAAUGAUGAGUUCAAAAGUCCAUGCAAUUAAGUCCCUUAGUCAUAUCUAAGCUCCAAAUGAGGUUUGGAAGGUUUAAGGCUCAAAACCCCUUAUUACAUGUGUUCACGGCCUAAGGACGUUCCACGACCGUAAACACAUGUUUAUGGUCCUUUUCCUCAUAUAUUUCAUGAAUUUGAAGGCCAAAGGUGUUAUACUAGGAGCUAGGAUAGUUACCUUGAUGAUUUGGAGCUUGAUUUGGAUGAUUUUUGCUUGAUUUCGAGUUUUAGAGAGAGAAAGUAGAGAGAGAGUGAAAAAGGCUUCAAAUGAGGCUCUCUCAACUUUAUAUAUGCUCAAAGUCUGGGACACGGUGGAAUUCUACCAGAUACUGACGCUAUACGAGGCUUUUGGGCACACCCGAUUAAGUUACCGUAAUUGCAACUAAGAUGAAGCUAAUUAUUUUCUAAAGGAAAUUAGAAAAUAUUUUAAAGUUUUAAAAUGUAUCCCGACACUUCUGAAAUUUAAAGAGAAGUUGCAAUUAAAUUAAAUUAAAACAAAGUUAACGGAAAAAUUGGAACGUAACGGCUUUAUUAACGGAACCGGGUUACGAUAACGGAACGAACUUCAGGUUGUCACACUUCGCAAUUUAAAAAAGCAUUGAUGAGCAUUGUUUAAUUCUUGAGUUCCACAAUUGAUGUGGUGCUUUCAGUUUAGCAAAGCUUUUAAGAGCAUUGUUUAAUUCUUGAGUUCCACAAUAGAAGUCUAUGCAAUUUACGAAGGUUUUGAUGAGCACUGUUUAAUUCUUGAGUUCCACAUUACAAGUAGUCUUCGCUAUUUAGCAAAGCAUUGAUGAGUAUUGUUUAUUUCUUGAGUUCCACAAUAAAAGUCUAUGAAAUUUAAGCAAACCUUUGAUGAGCAUUCUUUCAUUCUUGAGUUCCAAAUUAAAAGUCUAUGCAAUUUUCCAAAUCAUUGAUGAGUAUAGUUGAAUUCUAGAGUUCCAUAAUAGAUGCAGUCUUCGCAAUUUAGCAAAGCUUUAAUGAGCGUUGAUUAAUUCUUGAGUUCCACAUUAGAAUUCUAUGCAAUUUUGCAAAUCCUUGAUGAGUAUUGUUUAUUUCUUGAGUUCCACAUUAGAAUUCUAUGCAAUUUUGCAAAUCCUUGAUGAGUAUUGUUUAUUUCUUGAGUUCCACAUUAGAAUUCUAUGCAAUUUUGCAAAUCCUUGAUGAGUAUUGUUUAUUUCUUGAGUUCCACAUUAGAAUUCUAUGCAAUUUUGCAAAUCCUUGAUGAGUAUUGUUUAUUUCUUGAGUUCCACAUUAGAAUUCUAUGCAAUUUUGCAAAUCCUUGAUGAGUAUUGUUUAUUUCUUGAGUUCCACAUUAGAAUUCUAUGCAAUUUUGCAAAUCCUUGAUGAGUAUUGUUUAUUUCUUGAGUUCCACAUUAGAAUUCUAUGCAAUUUUGCAAAUCCUUGAUGAGUAUUGUUUAUUUCUUGAGUUCCACAUUAGAAUUCUAUGCAAUUUUGCAAAUCCUUGAUGAGUAUUGUUUAUUUCUUGAGUUCCACAUUAGAAUUCUAUGCAAUUUUGCAAAUCCUUGAUGAGUAUUGUUUAUUUCUUGAGUUCCACAUUAGAAUUCUAUGCAAUUUUGCAAAUCCUUGAUGAGUAUUGUUUAUUUCUUGAGUUCCACAUUAGAAUUCUAUGCAAUUUUGCAAAUCCUUGAUGAGUAUUGUUUAUUUCUUGAGUUCCACAAUAGAAGUCUAUGCAAUUUACAAAGGUUUUGAUGAGCAUUUUUGAAUUCUUGAGUUCCACAUUAUAAGUAGUCUUCUCUAUUUAGCAAAGCUUUGAUGAGUAUUGUUUAUUUCUUGAGUUCAACAAUAAAAGUCUAUGCAAUUUAAGCAAACCUUUGAUGAGAAUUCUUUCAUUCUUGAGUUCCACAUUAGAAUUCUAUGCAAUUUUGCAAAUCUUUGAUGAGUAUUGUUUAAUUCUAGAGUUCCAAAAUAGAUGUAGUCUUCGCAAUUUAGCAACGCUAUUAUGAGCAUCAUUUAAUUGUUAAGUUCCACAAUAGAAGUCUAUGCAAUUUAAGCAAAGCUUUGAUGAGCAUUAUUUCAUUCUUGGGCUCUAUGUUAGAAUUCUAUGAAAUUUUGCAAAGCAUUGUUUAAUUCUUGAGUUCCAUAAUAUAAAUAGUCUUUGCAAUUUAGCAAAGCUUUUAUGAGCAAUGAUUAAUUCUUGAGUUGCACAAUCGUGUAUGCUAUUUAUGCAAAGCUUUGAUGAGCAUUGUUUAAUACUUGAGUUCCACAUUAGAAGUCUAUGCAAUUUACCAGAGCUUUGAUGAGCAUUGUUUAAUGCUAGAGUUCCACAAUAGAAGUAAUCUUCGCAAUUUAGCAAAGCUUUGAUAAGCAUUGUUUAAUUCUUAAGUUCCACAAUAGAAGUCUAUGCAAUUUAAGCAAAGCUUUAUCAUAUUGAUUCAUUAUUGAUUUUCACAUUAGAAGUCUAUCAAUUUUUCAAAGUUUUGAUGAGCAUUGUUUAAUUUUUGAGUUCCACAAUAAAAGUAGUCUUCGCAAUUUAGCAAAGCUUUGAUGAGCAAUGUUUAAUUCUUAAGUUCCACAAUAGAAGUCUAUGCAAUUUAAGCAAAGCUUUGAUGAGCAUUGUUUCAUUCUUGAGUUCCACAAUAGAUGUCUAUGCAAUUUAGCAAAGCUUUGAUUCACAUUGUUUAACUCUUGAGUUCCACAAUAGAUGUAGACUUUGCAAUUUAGCUAAGCGAAGAUGAGCAUUGUUAAAUUCUUGAGUUCCACAAUAGAAGUCUAUGCAAUUUAAGCAAAGCUUUGAUGAGCAUUGUUUCAUUCUUUAGUUCCACAUUAGAAGUCUAUGCAAUUUAGCAAAGCUUUGAUGUGCAUUGUUUAGUUCUUGAGUUCCACAGUAGAAGCAGUCUUCGCAAUUUAGCAAAGCUUUAAUGAGCAUUGUUUAAUUCUUGAGUUCCAUAAUUGUUGUGGUGUUUUCAGUUUAGCAAAGCUUUUAUGAGCAUUGUUUAAUUCUUGAGUUCCA